rnacentral:rRNA from 1 species
AAAUUACGCCUUCAUGAAGCUGGAAUUGCUAGUAAUGGCAGGUCAGCAUACUGCCGUGAAUACGUUCCCGGGCCUUGUACACACCGCCCGUCACACCAUGAGAGUUGGAAAUACCCGAAGCCUGUGAGCUAACUUAAAGAGGCAGCAGUCGAAGGUAGAGCCAAUGAUUGGGGUGAAGUCGUAACAAGGUAAC